UUUUUAUGGCCCCCAAUCAAGCAAGAUUACCCGCCGAACUUAAGCAUAUCAAUAAGCGGAGGAAAAGAAACCAACAGGGAUUGCCCUAGUAACGGCGAGUGAACAGGCAAGAGCUCAGAUUUGAAAGCCUUUUUGGCAUUGUAUUCUGAAGUCAGUUUCCUGAGUAUCGGUGUUUAAGUCUUCUGGAAAGGAGCGCCAUGGAGGGUGAUAGCCCCGUACGACACCUCACUCAUUGUAGGAUUCUGACGUGGAGUCGAGUUGUUUGGGAAUGCAGCUCAAAAGGGUGGUAUGCUCCAUCUAAAGCUAAAUAUCUGUGAGAGACCGAUAGCGAACAAGUACUGUGAAGGAAAGAUGAAAAGAACUUUGAAAAGAGAGUGAAAAAGUACGUGAAAUUGUUGAAAUGGAAGGAUAUGCCGCUAACAAUGUAGAGCCGUGUUUGGGGGGAAGACAAAAGCUGAAGAAUGUAUCUCUUUUAGGGAAUUAUAACUUCAGUCAAUAUUCCCAUCCGGGCGCGAGACUCAGGCUCUACCAAA
rnacentral:rRNA from 1 species